rnacentral:rRNA from 1 species
AUGCAGCAGUCGAUAUGCUACAUCGCGGCAAACCGGUGGACGGUGUCAGUGGCGUGGGGGUUCGUGGUCACUGGUGACGGUGGCGAGGGCGUCGUGCUGGCACGGGAGAUGGAGAUGCCGGCGCGGACGUUCAUGAACCGAUACCGGCGCGCCGACUACAAGGCGUGCGCGUUGAACACGAAGCCCCUGGCGCACAACCAGUGCGAGAGGCCCGCGCUCUACUACCUGCCGUCGGCAUGGUGCACAGUGGUGCGCGUCAUCGUGCUCGAGAAGCCUAACCCGGAAUUAUGGGACCUGGUAAUGCUCACUCUGCCUAUUUUACGUGUCAGAAGGCUGCUGGACGAGUGA